rnacentral:rRNA from 1 species
AUUGAACGCUGGCGGCAGGCCUAACACAUGCAAGUCGAACGAGCGGCGGACGGGUGAGUAAUGUCUGGGGCUCUGCCCGAUAGAGGGGGAUAACUACUGGAAACGGUAGCUAAUACCGCAUACUCUCGGGUGACCCCAUAUGGGAUUCGCUAGUAGGUGGGGUAAAGGCUCACCUAGGCGCCGCUCUCUAGCUGGUCUGAGAGGAUGACCAGCCACACUGGGACUGAGACACGGUCCAGACUCCUACGGGAGGCAGCAGUGGGGAAUAUGGCACAAUGGGCGCAAGCCUGAUGCAGCCAUGCCGCGUGUAUGAAGAAGGCCUUAGGGUUGUAAAGUACGUUCAGCGGGGAGGCGUUACCCGCAGAAGAAGCACCGGCUAACUCCGUGCCAGCAGCCGCGGUAAUAC